AACUGACUGACUGAGAGCAGGGAUAAUCGUCACUGAAAAGCAGCGCUGGGGGCAAGUGGUGACUGAGCUGUUUUCCUCGCGUUAUCGAGGUGACUGAAGACCUGCUCUGGGCACACUGAACAUUUUCAAUACGGCGUCGCCACCAACCGUCACCGCCGCGGCCCAGACCCUCGGGACCCACAGCGCGUCCUGGC